rnacentral:rRNA from 1 species
GCAUAUCAAUAAGCGGAGGAAAAGAAACUAACAAGGAUUCCCCUAGUAACUGCGAGUGAAGCGGGAAAAGCUCAAAUUUAAAAUCUGGCAGUCUUUGGCUGUCCGAGUUGUAGUCUGGAGAAGUGUUUUCCGCGCUGGACCGUGUACAAGUCUCUUGGAAUAGAGCGUCAUAGAGGGUGAGAAUCCCGUCUUUGACACGGACCGCCAGUGCUUUGUGAUGCGCUCUCAAAGAGUCGAGUUGUUUGGGAAUGCAGCUCAAAAUGGGUGGUAAAUUCCAUCUAAAGCUAAAUAUUGGCGAGAGACCGAUAGCGAACAAGUACCGUGAGGGAAAGAUGAAAAGCACUUUGGAAAGAGAGUUAAACAGUACGUGAAAUUGCUGAAAGGGAAACGCUUGAAGUCAGUCGCGUUGUCCAGAACUCAGCCUGGCUUUUGCUUGGUGCAUUUUCUGGAUAACGGGCCAGCAUCAAUUUUGAUCGUUGGAUAAAGGUCUUGGGAAUGUGGCACCUUCGGGUGUGUUAUAGCCCUUGAUUGCAUACAACGAUUGGGAUUGAGGAUCUCAGCAUGCCUUUAUGGUCGGGGUUCGCCCACGUUCAUGCUUAGGAUGCUGGCGUAAUGGCUUUAAUCGACCCGUCUUGAAACACGGACCAAGGAGUCUAACAUGCCUGCGAGUAUUUGGGUGGUAAACCCGAGUGCGCAAUGAAAGUGAAAGUUGGGAUCUCUGUCGCGGAGAGCACCGACGCCCGGACCAGAUCUUUUGUGACGGUUCCGCGGUGGAGCAUGUAUGUUGGGACCCGAAAGAUGGUGAACUAUGCCUGAAUAGGGUGAAGCCAGAGGAAACUCUGGUGGAGGCUCGUAGCGAUUCUGACGUGCAAAUCGAUCGUCAAAUUUGGGUAUAGGGGCGAAAGACUAAUCGAACCAUCUAGUAGCUGGUUCCUGCGA